UACUACGGGAGGCAGCAGUAGGGAAUCUUCCGCAAUGGACGAAAGUCUGACGGAGCAACGCCGCGUGAGCGAUGAAGGCCUUCGGGUCGUAAAGCUCUGUUGUCAGGGAAGAACAAGUACCGGAGUAACUGCCGGUACCUUGACGGUACCUGACCAGAAAGCCACGGCUAACUACGUGCCAGCAGCCGCGGUAAUACGUAGGUGGCAAGCGUUGUCCGGAAUUAUUGGGCGUAAAGCGCGCGCAGGCGGUUCCUUAAGUCUGAUGUGAAAGCCCCCGGCUCAACCGGGGAGGGUCAUUGGAAACUGGGGAACUUGAGUGCAGAAGAGGAGAGCGGAAUUCCACGUGUAGCGGUGAAAUGCGUAGAGAUGUGGAGGAACACCAGUGGCGAAGGCGGCUCUCUGGUCUGUAACUGACGCUGAGGCGCGAAAGCGUGGGGAGCGAACAGGAUUAGAUACCCUGGUAGUCCACGCCGUAAACGAUGAGUGCUAAGUGUUAGAGGGUUUCCGCCCUUUAGUGCUGCAGCAAACGCAUUAAGCACUCCCC
rnacentral:rRNA from 1 species